rnacentral:rRNA from 1 species
UACGGAGGAUGCAAGCGUUAUCCGGAAUUAUUGGGCGUAAAGCGUCCGUAGGUGGCUUUACAAGUCAGCUGUUAAAGCGUGGAGCUUAACUCCAUAAAGGCAGUUGAAACUGUGAGGCUAGAGUGCGGUAGGGGUAAGGGGAAUUCCCAGUGUAGCGGUGAAAUGCGUAGAUAUUGGGAAGAACACCGGUGGCGAAAGCGCUCUGCUGGACCUGCACUGACACUGAGGGACGAAAGCUAGGGGAGCGAAAGGG